CACAGAGCCCAACGCGGGGCUCGAUUCCACGAAUUGUGAGAUUAUGACCUGAGCUGAAACCAAGAGUUGGCCAGUUAACCGACUGAGCCACUCAGGUGCCCCCAGGAAGAUCUUUCUAAUUGGCUGGCAAUUGAACAGAGCAGAGAGAAGGUGAGAGCCAAGAGGAUACCUGGGGGGAGAGACUCUGAGGGAGCAGUGAGCACCCAGGGCCCAGGUGGGAGUGCAUGAAGGAGGAAGCAGUGUGUCUGCUGGGCAGGGAGUGCAGGAGAGUGGGGGCCAGUGGGUUUGGGUCUGAAGGGCUGUGUGGGUCAUUUAAGUCAUUGGCUUUUACUGAGCCAUUGUGGGGUGUUGAGAAAGGGCAGGAUCUGACUUAGGUUUUACAGGAGCAGCUAGGUUAGUCUGGUAAGAAUGGAGUAGGUGGGAAAAGCUGGGUGUAGCCAGUGGCUCAUGAUGUCCAGGGAAGACAGCUGAGAGUGGCUUGAACCAGGGUGGUCAUGGUAGGUUUUGAGAAGUGGAGGGAUUAUGGAUGCAUUUUCAAGUAGAGCUGACAAGACCUGCUGACAGAUUGCAUGUGGGGUGUGGGAGAAGGGAAGGAGGCAAGGAUGACUCUAAGACCCAGCACGAGCAACUGGAAGAAUGGAGUUACCACUGAGGCUCUAGAAAGGAUACAGCCAAAGUGACGGUGACCAAAGGGCUGAGACACCAGUGGCUCAUGGAAGCAAAGAUAAAAAUUGGAGUGUAUUUAUGGAUGAAUAUGUCUACUUGUUGUAAUGAGGAAGAGGUUGCAAAUUGGUAGGCCCUGGGCUGAAUCUGGCUGGUGGACAUGUGUGGUUUGGUUCUCACAGUUACUUAAUAAGUAACUCAACUCAAUUAGUUGAUAUUUAGAACCAAUGGGAUUUUAUAUAAAAAUAUGGAUUUUCUGCUACUUUUAGGAAAGUGGAAGUUCUGGCAAUCCAGGUGAGGGCUGGUUGGCCCUGGAUGACAGCUAGCCCCUUUGGCAGGGUGCCCCCCCAUUCCCUAUUAUUUUAUAGCUGCUUGCUACCCUCUCUCAAUCCCAGUCUCCUCAUUUGAAAAUAGGAAUAACAGUAGUACUUACCUCCUGGGGUUAUUAGGAAAAUUAACAGACAUAACUCAUGUAAAGCAACUAGAAUACAUGGUUAUCAACUAAGUAUUCAAAAACGCUUGCUUUAUUGUUGUUGGUGUUAUUAUCUGUCUGGUCUUGCAGGGCUGUGAGUUUGCAGCUCUUGCCAGGAGGAUUUCAGAAGCUGGAGGAUGAUUCUAACAGGGGUUGAGAGGCAUGGACCCAUUUCCCUGGGAAAGAGCUGUGCUCUGUUAGAAUGAGACUAAUCUGUGGGACUACCCCAGCUGGCCACUGAUCUGACUGGGACAUCCCUGUCCACCUCCACGCCUCCUGUAGGUCAGAACCUGACGGAGCAUGACGUGGAACACAAGAGGCAUGGGGAGGCGUCUUGAUAUAGACAGGGUACCCACUGGUCAACCAAGGUCUGGAAGCAGAUUGUCAGAAGGUCACUAGUAGCCUAACACUACGUCACAACACCUGCGUCAUUCACCUUAUUUCAUCUCUUCAUGGAAGUAUUUUAUCAUCUCAUGUCAUCACAAGAGGAGGAAGAACGGUGAGUACAGUGUUCCUUUCGCAGCACAAAAAUGGACUUUCAUGCAAUUCAUUUCAGUCAGAAGUUCCAGGGAUGGAUUUGGAAGACAAAAAUCAUAAGAUAUUUUGAGAGAGGUCACAUUCAUGUAACUUUUAUUGCAGUCUAUUAUUAUAAUUCUAUUUUGUUAUUAGUUGUUGUGACUCUUACUAUGUGACUCUUACUAUGCCUAAUUUAUAAAUUAAAUUUUAUCAUAGGUAUGUAUGUACAAGAAAAAAAACAUAGUAUCUAUAGGGAUUGGUACUAUAUGUGCUUCUAGUCAUUCCCUGGGGGGCCUUGGAACAUGUCCCCCAUGGAUAAGAGGGGGGACCACUAUAGGUGCCAUUGGACGCUUAGCUCCCACUCCACUUGGAGAUGUCAAGGCCUUGUUUUCUGUCCCAGGGUCUGUGUGUAACUGGGAUGGGAGACCCUUUUACUUGAGAGCUAUUAUCUUUGCUGCAUGAUUAGACUCUCCUGACCUUAGUUCUCACUUGUAAAAUGAGGUAAUAAUAGUAUCCAUCUCAAGGAAUUGUGUGAUUAACUGAGUUAAUACCUUUAAAAAAGAAAGAGCACUUAGAGCACAGAGUGAACAAGCCAUGCAUGUUAACUAUUAUGAUGACGGUAGUAGUAAUGACCAUCCCUAUUGGACAUCACAGAUGGAGGCAGCCUAGGUGGUUACAUGAUGUCGCUGUCUCCUGGCAAGGAUCCAAUGAAUCCCCGCUUUACACCUCCAUGGCUUUGCUGAGGACAUGGUGAAGAGUGUGAGGACUGUUGUUCUAUCUACUUCUGGAAGGGGCUGAUGGAGAAAUAACCAGGCCUGUGAGUUUAUACAACAGUGGGUCAAAGUGUAAAACUUGACCUUGAGAAUUUCAUUAAUCUCUUCAAUUAUAUUGAAGGCAGCAGAGAAGUCACUUCUCACAUGGGUCCCCAAGAAUUAAAAGAGUGAAUGCUGUCCUCUAACUCUUGGCCUUGCCACUUAUCAGCUGUGUCAACUUGGGCCAGUUACUUAACCUCUCUGAACUGCAGUUUCUUCAUUUGUAAAAUGGGAAGACUAUAGCAUUGUUGGAAUUACUGAAUCAGAUGAUAUCUGUAGAGUUAAUAGCAAAUUAAGUUCUUGGAUCCAGGUGACGGCUCAAUAGAAGCCUGUUAUCAUGCCUAUUAUUAUUUUUAUUAUAAAUGCUUAUAAUUACAAGCUACCUUUACAGUUUUCAAUUUACAACGCAGGGAACAGGUUACUUUCACAGCAGGGCUUGUCCUGUGACGAUCUUCUCCAUCACCUUAAAAGAUGUUCACAUUCAUAGGAAUUCCCUCACCUGGGCUGGGCCUGACCCUCAGAACUCCGUGGUUGUCUAUGUGAAGAUGGGCAUUAUCCAUGGGAAGAUUUCCAUGCAAAAGCGUCCUGGUUGCACAAGGGUUGGGUCCAAGUCAUCCUGCCUCUGCGAGUGUCUAUAGUCCCAGGGAAUGGGUCAUGGCUCCUACUGGAUGAUUAGGACUUUUGAAGACUUUUGAGGUGUCCAGACUCAAACCCUCCUCACCAUUGACUCCUUCCACUGGGCAAAUUCCUAGGAGUAGACUGGCAGGAUUACAUGGUGUUGGUUUAACUUUUUUUUUUUUUUUUUUUUUUUUUUUUUUAAGAGAGAGAGAGAGUGCACAAGCUGGGAAGAAGGGCAGAGGGAGGGAGAGAGAGAAUCUCAAUCCUACAUGGGGCUCAAUCCUAUGACCCUGGGAUUAUAACCUGAGCCAAAAUCAAAACUCAACUGACUGAGCCACCCAGGCACCCCUGUUUAAUGUUUAAAAAAACCUGCCAACUCUUGUCCAACAUGGUUGUACCACUUUAUAUCCCCUCCAGUUCUAACUGUAUCAUCUCUCCAGCCUCAUUUUCCAUUCUUCCCCUUACAGCAAAGUCAGUGCUUUCCAAACUUCAAGAAAAAAAUCUAUCUAUCUAUCUAUCUAUAUAUCUAUUUUAACUUUAACAUUUGUUUAUUGCAGAGAAAG